UACGGGGGGGGCGAGCGUUGUUCGGAAUCACUGGGCGUAAAGGGCGCGUAGGCGGCCUUCUAAGUCAGACGUGAAAUCCCCAGGCUUAACUUGGGAACUGCGUCUGAUACUGGGAGGCUUGAGUGCGGGAGAGGGAUGUGGAAUUCCAGGUGUAGCGGUGAAAUGCGUAGAUAUCAGGAAGAACACCCGUGGCGAAGGCGGUUCUCUGGGACGGUACUGACGCUGAGACGCGAAAGCGUGGGGAGCGAACAGG
rnacentral:rRNA from 1 species